rnacentral:lncRNA from 1 species
CAGACAUUAAACGCAGUAGGCAAUAAUAAAAUAAGACCUUUAAGUACUUGGGGUUUGUCACGAAGAUCUGUGGAAACAUAUUGAGCGUGGCCAGACAUCAGGGCCUCACUGAGAACCCCUUUCUCCUCAUCGGGAUCCAGCACAAUGUUGGGACCCAAGUCCGCUAUACGGACCUUAAACAUCUCGUAUUUGAUUAGCAUUACCACCAAAUGCCGCGCUGCAAAGCCUCUCCCACCCGUCACCAUACACCACCUCUCUUCCUCAGCCAUUUGAAGAUAUAUUCUGAUAAAUAUUACCACUACUAUGGUCCUGCAAAGUGAUAACUUAGCAAUGUGCUUAAAUAUUUAUAACAUGACAUUAAAUACUAGUUUUGCAUGCACAAAUCUCAAAAAUAAAAAAAUGUGGGUACUUAU